rnacentral:rRNA from 1 species
GUCUAUGGUCAUACCACCUUGAACAAGCCCGAUAACUGAUCUUGGAAGCUAAGCAAGGUCUAGCCUGGUUAGUACUUGGAUGGGAGACCACCUAGGAAGACCAGGUGCUGUAGGCA